UACGAGUGCCCCAAGCGUUAUCCGGAAUCAUUGGGCGUAAAGGGUGUGUAGGUGGUUGUGUUAGUCUUUUGUUAAAACCCGGGGCUCAACCUCGGAUAUGCGAAAGAAACGGCACGACUAGAGGGUGCGAGGGGUCUGUGGAACUCAUGGAGUAGGGGUGAAAUCCGUUGAUAUCAUGGGGAACACCAAAAGCGAAGGCAGCAGACUGGAGCAUUCCUGACACUGAAACACGAAAGCGUGGGUAGCGAAUGGG
rnacentral:rRNA from 1 species